rnacentral:rRNA from 1 species
GAAUUCAACUCCUACGGGAGGCAGCAGUGGGGAAUAUUGCACAAUGGGCGGAAGCCUGAUGCAGCAACGCCGCGUGCGGGAUGACGGCCUUCGGGUUGUAAACCGCUUUCGCCUGUGACGAAGCGUGAGUGACGGUAAUGGGUAAAGAAGCACCGGCUAACUACGUGCCAGCAGCCGCGGUGAUACGUAGGGUGCGAGCGUUGUCCGGAUUUAUUGGGCGUAAAGGGCUCGUAGGUGGUUGAUCGCGUCGGAAGUGUAAUCUUGGGGCUUAACCCUGAGCGUGCUUUCGAUACGGGUUGACUUGAGGAAGGUAGGGGAGAAUGGAAUUCCUGGUGGAGCGGUGGAAUGCGCAGAUAUCAGGAGGAACACCAGUGGCGAAGGCGGUUCUCUGGGCCUUUCCUGACGCUGAGGAGCGAAAGCGUGGGGAGCGAACAGGAUUAGAAACCCUAGUAGUCCAGGCGUU